UUGAGGAGCGAUAAAGUGAAUAUGGGAGUCAAUUCCACCAGCCGUCAGGAUGAGUCCCUCACCGGCGAUGGCUUCGGUUGUGACACCGACAACCAUGUUAUCGGAGACCUCAGCCAUGACAUCGGGAUUGCCUGCUUUGCCUAUUCCGGCGAUGCGCCCGUUCUUAAUACCAACGUCUGCUUUUCGUAUACCAGUCCAGUCAACAAUGAGUGCAUUUGUAAUGACGCAGUCCAGAGCGGACUCG
rnacentral:sRNA from 1 species